CAGAUGCAGAUUAAGCGACAUGAGUUUAUGUGUAAUUUACAUCUGAGGCAUUUUUGUGAUGUCACUCCUUUUCUAUUUCACCUUGGAGAUUUUAUGCAUCCC
rfam:Triticum aestivum genome assembly, contig: Triticum_aestivum_CS42_TGACv1_scaffold_322256_4BL